CGGAGUGAACGCUGGCGGCAGGCCUAAUACAUGCAAGUCGAACGGCAGCACAGUGGAGCUUGCUCCAUGGGUGGCGAGUGGCGGACGGGUGAGGAAUACAUGGGAAUCUGCCCAGUCGUGGGGGAUAACGUAGGGAAACUUACGCUAAUACCGCAUGCGCCCUUCGGGGGAAAGCCGGGGACCGUAAGGCCUGGCGCGAUUGGAUGAGCCCAUGUCGGAUUAGCUAGUUGGCGGGGUAACGGCCCACCAAGGCGACGAUCCGUAGCUGGUCUGAGAGGAUGAUCAGCCACACUGGAACUGAGACACGGUCCAGACUCCUACGGGAGGCAGCAGUAGGGAAUAUUGGACAAUGGGCGCAAGCCUGAUCCAGCCAUGCCGCGUGAGUGAAGAAGGCCCUCGGGUUGUAAAGCUCUUUUGUCCGGAAAGAAAAGCACUGGGUUAAUACCCCGGUGUCCUGACGGUACCGGAAGAAUAAGCACCGGCUAACUUCGUG
rnacentral:rRNA from 1 species